GGUGAACCAUAUCACAGUUUCACUUUCACACUAGACACGCGCAAAUCCAGUCGUCUUCUCCUUCGGCUCUUCUCCUUCGGCUCUUCUCCUUCAACCGUGUAGUCUCCGCCGCAGCCGGCACCGGAGCAGACAACUGGCACCGGCACGGCGGCACCGUGUUGUCUCCUUCAACCGGCCUCACCUCUGUUUCAGUGUUUCUCUUCUUCUGCCUUUGGUCUUCUCCUUCUCGUUCGCCGUCGUCAUCCUUUGAUUUCACCGUGUGGGCUUCCGGUUCUUUUGCUUUCCAUUCCCCUCUGCUCGUGCUUCUUGCCUCUGGGCCACAAGAUUUUGUUUUUCCACCCAGGAGCACAACAAAGUUCGUGAAACUGGAAGUAACCAUGAAUUUUCACUGAACCAGAACAAGCAGAACAAGCAGUUCCAGCACAAGCAGAACAAGCAGUUCCAGCACAAGCAGAACAAGCAGUAGCCCUUGUUUCUCUUCUUUCCACAGAGUUCCGACGCAGUUCUAGCACGCCGGCGCUGCCUGUAGCAGCGUCCUCCAUCCACCGCCGCUGCAACACCCUGUCCCCUUUCUUUUUGCCCUGUUCUAGUUCUCUGCUUUCAGCCGCAGCUGUCUCCGACUCCAAGCUUCCAUUUCCAUUUCCAUCAACACUUGACACUCCACCGGCGACGACGACAGCUUGUCGGCGCCGACUCGACAGAGGCUUCAUUUAGUAAUCAGUAGUAUUUGCAGUUCAGAUAAGGUCGUGGUUUAAUGGAGCCUGCAAACGUAGUGUUCGACAAAUUGAAAGCCGUCGCUAAAUCCGGAAACGAAUUCUUUCAUGGACUCUUCGAUCCUUGUCGCAAUCCGAUUCAAAUCCUCAAACGUUUAAACCGAGAAGCAUUCUCUGACAUUAUGAAACUCAGAGACAGACAAGAGAAGGUUGAGAGAUUGCUUUCCUUCUAUAAAUCAUCCAAGGGAGGUCCCUUCCAGGAAUCUACCACUCAUGUAAGAGGAAGGGUCGAUAUGCAGGAUGCUUUAUUGAUUAUGAAUAGCCUUGAUCAACAGAGCUUAGAUGCCAUUACUACGUCCAGAAUAAGAACCGGCAUUGGAUCAAAGUUUAUUUUUGAAACCAACAUUGGGCAGGAUACUCUUGCUGCAGAGUUUGUGACAAGUCAAAACGGGAAGGAGUGCCCCAAUGAUAUCCUUGAAAUGCCACUUUCUCUAGCAAAACUCACUUAUACUAAAAAUGUUAAUGAUUGGUUAUCUCUGAUGGCUAUCCCAAUAGGAGCUAAAUGUAGAGAUGUUGGAAUUGCUUCAAAUUCUUCUGAUGAGGGCCUUACGGACUUCUCCUCUUUUGGACCUCCCAUUCUAAAUUUGCACAAUGGUAGUGGUAUUGGCAUAACUGUGAGGAAGUCAAAUAUAACAGCUUCAUUGGCUCAAUUUGUUGCUGGACUUGGAAUGCCAACUGGGACUAAUACAAUGGAGAGUAUAUCCAGCACUUUUGGGAAAAUUGUAUCUGAAUUUUCUUGGGGGAAGCUGUCUCUUCUGGGUCUUCAACGAGUGCCUUUACAAUUUGCGCAAUUUAGAAAAGUUGGAGCUCAUAUGAUUCCAAUAGUCUUGUCCAGGCAACAUAAAGUAUCCGAGACAGUACCUGAAGUAUCACCAUGGGUGGGAGCAAGGACACAGGUCUCAACUGGUUCCAUUGCUCUGUUGGCGGAGUCUGAACUUGCCGACUUUGUAAAAUUUGGAGGCUGGAUCGAGAUGAAAGAUCCAAAUUUCAAUUCUGUUCAAUGGGCUCUAACCAUGUCUGAUGUUUCUGAAGAUCCAGUUGGCUGGGGCAUUAGUCUCAGCGGGAUGAUUGGAGAUUCAACCAGUGAUCAUUUUCAGGUUGAAUCCUAUCUAAAAUUUAACAUGGGUAAUAAACUUUGCUUGAAGCCUGGCCUUGCAUAUGUGAUGCAUGGGGAUUCCAUGGUAGCUGCUUUAAUGCUUCGUUCUGAAUGGUCCCUGUGAUGAUUGUCCUCUGCCUAUUGCUAUCUAUAUACCAUGCAGUUUUUUCAGGUUCUUGCUACACUUCCAUCGAGAUGUAUAGAACAAGGAAUGAAAAAUAACUUUUGCUGUUGAGAUGAGAAAACACUCAUGCCUGGAAGAUUAAAUUGUUGUAAAUAGGAAUUCUACAGAAGAUUCCACUGAUUUCAGAAACCAGAUAACUGUUAUUUCAAGAGAUUCUUCAGGGAACAAAUUUCAAUCCUGUGUGGCUACAUAUUACCUUGACAAUCAAUACUAUGAUUGAGUAACCUCAACCGGUCAACCCUACUACUCCCUAGCUUCAAGCCCAAAUGAACUUUAGGGUUUCAAAUCGUCAGUAUAAUUGUUGGCUGUCGGUGAUGACAAUCAAUUGUGUGAGCUCUACUCUGAUGGUAAUAGCUUUGACCUUUCCAAAGGACUUGUCAGAAGGAAACUUGACUAAAGAAGAAGAUUCCUUGAUGCAUUCACAAGCCAACAACAGCAAUAACACAAUUUGUAUAUAUAAUUGUUUUAUUUUUAUUAUUAAGGUCUUGGGGCCUUGGGGGUGGUUUUUUUAGCAAAAUAAUUUUCACAUAUUAUCACAUUUUGUUUCAUAAUAUAUCAUCAAUGAAUUUCUUUCAAAUUUGUUAGGCGCCUGCUUUGCUAUAUAUAAUUAUAUAUUGAUUGGUCUUUUUGCUUUAACCAAUCAUUUGCACGGAGUUAGAUGGUCCUUGGCCAGCAAUAAUAAAAUUAUCUGAUUUUUUUCUUUUUAUUUUAAAUAAUGUUUAUGUGAUUCAUUGUUGUGCUCAUUAAUCACCUUUGCUUCCUACUAAAGUGUAUGCUUGAAUUAGAUGCUUAAUCAAUCAGAUUUUGUUGACUGCCUGUCAUCCAUCUACCACCCCCAUCAUGACCAAGGUGUCAUAUUCUGUAAUUUCGAGGUUAUGUCGCUUUUUCAAAUGGACUUAUCUUGGGUCAUUAUGACAUAUUAGAUUUUGCUUCAAACGUGCAUUGCAUUAGGCUUUCAAUAAUAAGUUAUAUAUUGGAAUGGAUCUUCUAAUGGUUGUUACCCAAAUCCAUGAAAAAUAUUCAAUUCAUAAAUAUAUGAGAGAAGUAAUUCUCUAGGACCAAAAAGUCUAAAAGCAUGAUUCAACAUUAGCAGAGUAAGUUUGUCACUCAACAAAAUUGCUUUUGGCUUAUAACAAUUUUUAGAUAUCUAUGUCUUUAUAUUGCACCAUUUUAACCUCCAUUUUAGUAAAACAUCAUUUUUACCCUCAUUUAAAAAAAAUAAAUAGUGCACAUAUGCAUUCAGCAUUUCCCUCUCUAUGUGGUGGGGAAUGACAUGUUCUAUGGUCGAGGAGUACUUGCUCUUUCUCUUUCAGGACAUGGGUCUCCAUUUGUUUGUAUUUCCUGAAGGUUAUGUAAGAUAUCACACCACUCACCCCAACACAUGGACACUCUUACCAUUUCAACAAAAUUCCUAAUCAAUAUGUUAGAUGAUGCCACUAUAAGCAUGAACUCUAAUGUAACAUCCAAUGUCCCCAUCAUAUAGUAUAAUUAUAGAGGUUUAGUCAUUCUCAAAAAGGAGGGCAAAAAGAGUCUAGUGAUAGGACCUCAAAGAAACUGCAUUUAUCUUUUACUCCCUCCUUUUUGAGAAUUUGAUAUUGCCAGCAUGCCCUAUGGACAAAGCUGUAUCUUCUUCAGCUAAAUUUGGGUUUCUUUUU